GAUGAACGCUGGCGGCGUGCCUAAUACAUGCAAGUCGAGCGAACAGACGAGGAGCUUGCUCCUCUGACGUUAGCGGCGGACGGGUGAGUCACACGUGGAUAACCUACCUAUAAGACUGGGAUCACUUCGGGAAACCGGAGCUAAUACCGGAUAAUAUAUUGAACCGCAUGGUUCAAUAGUGAAAGACGGUUUUGCUGUCACUUAUAGAUGGAUCCUCGCCGCAUUAGCUAGUUGGUAAGGUAACGGCUUACCAAGGCAACGAUGCGUAGCCGACCUGAGAGGGUGAUCGGCCACACUGGAACUGAGACACGGUCCAGACUCCUACGGGAGGCAGCAGUAGGGAAUCUUCCGCAAUGGGCGAAAGCCUGACGGAGCAACGCCGCGUGAGUGAUGAAGGUCUUCGGAUCGUAAAACUCUGUUAUUAGGGAAGAACAAAUGUGUAAGUAACUAUGCACGUCUUGACGGUACCUAAUCAGAAAGCCACGGCUAACUACGUG
rnacentral:rRNA from 1 species